rnacentral:rRNA from 1 species
UAAGCGGAGGAAAAGAAACUAACAAGGAUUCCCCCUAGUAACGGCGAGUGAAGCGGGAAGAGCUCAAAUUUGAAAUCUGGUAGCCUUCGGUUGCCCGAGUUGUAAUCUAGAGAAAUGUUUUCCGUGCCGGCCCAUGUACAAGUCCCUUGGAACAGGGCGUCAUAGAGGGUGAGAAUCCCGUCCUUGACAUGGACCCCCGGUGCUUUGUGAUACAUUUUCAACGAGUCGAGUUGUUUGGGAAUGCAGCUCAAAAUGGGUGGUGAAUUCCAUCUAAAGCUAAAUAUUGGCGAGAGACCGAUAGCGAACAAGUACCGUGAGGGAAAGAUGAAAAGCACUUUGGAAAGAGAGUUAAACAGUACGUGAAAUUGUUGAAAGGGAAACGAUUGAAGUCAGUCAUGCUCUUUGGUAUUUAUAUCAUUGAGUGGGGUCAACAUCAGUUUUGAUCGAUGGAUAAAGGCACUAGGAAUGUAGCACUCUCGGGUGAACUUAUAGCCUAGCGUCAUAUACAUUGAUUGGGACUGAGGAACGCAGCAUGCCUUUAUGGCCGGGAUUCGUCCACGUACAUGCUUAGGAUGUUGACAUAAUGGCUUUAAACGACCCGUCUUGAAACACG